CUGAGGCUAAGUCAUAAGAAGCCUUGCUAUUCCUCCCUGGGUGUCCUGAAUUAUCACUCUGAGGGAAAUAAACUGCCAUGUAAAAAGUCCAAUUACCCUGAAAGUAUUAUACUGUAAGAAGCCUAAGCCACGUGGAAAACCUGGAAGAGAUACCAUAUGGAAAGAGUGGUCAAGGAGCACUGACACACAAGACAUUUGCAGUGUGAAAUGAUAGCAGAGAGAGGAAAAGAAAGUGCAGUCCAGUGGAAACGCACACACUCUCUGACUUGUAUCCGGAGCAAUAGCAUUUUGAAGCUGCAAAGGACCUGAAAAAACAGAUUUCACCUUCCUCAUUUUACAGUUGAGGAAGCAAGAUGCUCAACAAGAGUUAGCUGCUCAAGGACACAGAGCAAGUUUUUAUCAGAAAUAAAAUAAGAAUCCAGGCUACUAUUAUAUAUUGAAGAGAAAUGAUGCAUUUACCAAAAAUACGACUCAGAGACACAAAAUUCACUACCUCUACUAGAUCUUCCAUCUCAAGAAUAAGCCUGAUUACAUUGACCUGGUCCUUGAUAACUCCUCACUGAACUGAGAAAGCCCUCAACCAGGUAUCUGCCCAGUCUUCUUUCUCUUUUCAGUCCAGCUCUCUGAUCAAAAUCAAGUUCAGCAUCUGUGAAAUUGACCUCAAGUGUGAAAUCAUUUUUUAAUGAUAAAGUGCCAAAAGUGUUCUCAACAAUAGAUGGUGAGUGGUUGCUGCUCAGCUGGCAGGUGACGGUGUUUUGAAAGCUUUGGAAGCCUGUUUCCAGCUGAUUGGCUAUUUUCACCAUUGGCUGCUGACUUGCUCCUCCCAAUCUCAGAAACCCAGGUCAGUGUGCAUGUGAGAGAGGAAAAUCUUCCUUUAUCUGAGGAAGAGGCCAAGACCACCAGCAUCAGGAGUAGGCAACAUUGGAGCCACCAGGCAUGAAUUGAUGUAUGAACUGGACAAAGAUGUUUGCUGAGUGGGAGGAAUGUAGAAGAACAUAAUGGCUCUAAACUAUUAAGACUUCGGUACAUAUUAGAGGAAUCUCUUCUCUCCAAAAGCACCCACCUAUACAAGUUACUGAUGUAAAGCAAUGCAUCUUGCUCACCUGAAAGGACCCUCUGUGUCAUAUAAAGCAGCAAGUGCUAGAGGUCAAAUGAAUGUGCAAAUAGAGGCUUCAAGAGUUGAGAAAUCUUCGCUGUAAAAUUAAGAAUUCUGGAGAUCUUAAGGACCUGAAGGCUGUGUUUUACAUAGUGCAGUGCUAGCCAGCAGCAAGUCCCAGAAGGUGGGCACCAGUCACCUUUUCUCUGAGAUGUCUCUUCACCUUCUCUGGAGUUCCAAGACGACCUAACAUCAAAACAUCUGAUGAGGUUAGCCCUGUUCAGACUGAAGAAGACAUCAUUUUCAGCAGCACUAUUAAAGGUGCCAGAGCCAACCCUACAUGCUGAGGUGUGAAGGCUGCAUCAGAGAUGAUGGACAAGAAAAGACAGAGGGCAAGAGAGUGAAAAGAAUUUAGAAAGAGAAGUCCUUAAAGUGUGUCAGCUACUGGAGAUUGGAAGAACAUGCUGUUUGAAGAGCCAGAGGAACUUAACCAAGUCCUACUCAGACUGGCCUAAGAGAAAGUGUUAGAGGACUAAGAAUUUGUA